UACAGAGGGUGCGAGCGUUAGUCGGAAUUACUGGGCGUAAAGCGUGCGUAGACGGUUAUUUAAGUCGGAUGUGAAAGCCCCGGGCUCAACCUGGGAAUUGCAUUCGAGACUGAAUAGCUAGGGUACGGUAGAGGGAAGCGGAAUUUCCGGUGUAGCGGUGAAAUGCGUAGAUAUCGGAAGGAACACCCGUGGCGAAGGCGGCCAUCUGGACCAGCACUGACGCUGAGGCACGAAAGCGUGGGGAGCAAACAGG
rnacentral:rRNA from 1 species